AAAUGAAUAGACGGGGACCCGCACAAGCAGCGGAGCGUGUGGUUUAAUUCGAUGCUACACGAAGAACCUUACCAGGGUUUGACAUGCAAGUGGUAGGAAACUGAAAGGGGACCGACCCUUCGGGGAGCUUGCACAGGUGCUGCAUGGCUGUCGUCAGCUCGUGUCGUGAGAUGUUCGGUUAAGUCCGCUAACGAGCGCAACCCUCACUGUGUGUUAUACGUGUCACACGGGACUGCCGGUUUUAAGCCGGAGGAAGGUGGGGAUGACGUCAAGUCAGCAUGGCCUUUAUAUCCUGGGCUACACACACGCUACAAUGGCCGGUACAAUAGGUUGCCAAGCCGCGAGGCGGAGCCAAUCCAUAAAGCCGGCCUCAGUUCAGAUUGUAGGCUGCAACUCGCCUGCAUGAAGACGGAGUUGCUAGUAACCGCAGGUCAGCUAUACUGCGGUGAAUACGUUCCCGGGUCUUGUACACACCGCCCGU
rnacentral:rRNA from 1 species